UCGGAAAUCGUCUAAUGGUUAGGACUAUGGUUUUUGGUACCAUAAAUCUAGGUUCGAGUCCUAGUUUCCGAG
rnacentral:tRNA from 1 species